GCUUCCAAUGAACCCCUAAUUCCUCCUCUCAAUAAGCUGAAUCCAUGGUGAUGAACCCAACGGCAAGUCCCCUGACUCAACCGGCAAUUCCCCCUUCGCUUUGUAUUUUUACUUCUCCCCUUCAACACAGUCCCGAAAAUAAAUUCUCAGAGCUAUUAAUAACAACCCAAACGGCUAAAUCAACCGGAAAGGCCCCACGGCUCUCUUCUUCAAUGACGUCGUUCCUGGAUUAGGACAGUCUGAGAUGGUUUCGGUUAAUUCAUUCUAAGAAGCGAGAAACACAGUGAAAGAUGCCUUUUUGAUUGGCCUGGAGCUCCUUCUUUAUGUUGAACAUGAUUUGUGUAAGGGAUUGAGUUUGGGAAUACUUUUCUUCCAGCGUAGCUUCUUGGCUCCUGUUGAGAUUAUGGAAGUGAUGAUCCUGAGUUCAAACAGGAGAUGGAGAAGCAGUUUCUGGGAAGUUUCAGAAGAACAUAGUCACUCAUCAUAUGGAUUUUACAUUGGCCGAAGCUAAAAGGGUUGCUUUACAGUACCAAAAGGAGGCUGAGAAGUGUAGAGAGCUCAAGCAUUGUUGCUCAAAGAGGGGAAGGUCACUUCUUUGUGGGAGCGGAGGGCUCGGCAAUUAGGUU